rnacentral:rRNA from 1 species
UACGUAGGGUGCGAGCGUUAAUCGGAAUUACUGGGCGUAAAGCGUGCGCAGGCGGUUCGUUAUGUCCGAUGUGAAAGCCCCCGAGCUCAACUUGGGGAAUGGCAUUGGAAACUGGCGGGCUGGAGUGUGGCAGAGGGGGGUGGAAUUCCACGUGUAGCAGUGAAAUGCGUAGAGAUGUGGAGGAACACCGAUGGCGAAGACAGCCCCCCUGGGCCAACACUGACGCUCAGGCACGAAAGCGUGGGGAGCAAACAGG